rnacentral:tRNA from 1 species
UGGGGUAUAGCUUGGUGGCAAAGCAUUUGCUUCACAUGCACGAAGCCCUGGGUUCAAUCCCCAGUUCCAAAA